rnacentral:rRNA from 1 species
CUCCUACGGGGGGCAGCAGUGGGGAAUAUUGGGCAAUGGGCGCAAGCCUGACCCAGCAACGCCGCGUGAAGGAAGAAGGCUUUCGGGUUGUAAACUUCUUUUUUGGGGGACGAACAAAUGACGGUGCCCCAGGAAUAAGCCACGGCUAACUACGUGCCAGCAGCCGCGGUAAUACGUAGGUGGCAAGCGUUAUCCGGAUUUAUUGGGUGUAAAGGGCGUGUAGGCGGGAAAGCAAGUCAGAUGUGAAAACU